GGAUAAGGAGAAGGAGCUCCUCCUUCUCCUUCUUCUUCCUCCUUCUUCCUCCUUCUCCUUCUCCUUCUUCUUCUCCUUGUCCUUCUUCUUUUCUUCUUCUUCUCCUCUUCCUUCUUCUUCUUCUCCUCCUCCUCCUCCUCCUCCUCCUCCUUAUUUUACUUCUUCUUCUCUAUCUCUUCUUCUACGUAGCUUAGACUCAUCCAAGAAAGGCUAAAUAGGCUAAUUAUCCUACGAAAUGACAUAAUUAGCU
rnacentral:lncRNA from 1 species